GCUGACACAUCCCGGUCAAUCUCCAGCAGACCCUCCCUCCCAGACCCUCCCACCUCCUGGACAGCAUCCAUGUUGAAGCUGCCUUCAACAUGGAUGCUGUCCAGGAGGUGGGAGGGUCUGGGAGGGAGGGUCUGCUGGAGAUUGGCCGGGAUGUGUCAG